AUUGAACGCUGGCGACAGGCUUAACACAUGCAAGUCGAGCGGAGAUGAGGUGCUUGCACCUUAUCUUAGCGGCGGACGGGUGAGUAAUGCUUAGGAAUCUGCCUAUUAGUGGGGGACAACAUUCCGAAAGGAAUGCUAAUACCGCAUACGCCCUACGGGGGAAAGCAGGGGAUCUUCGGACCUUGCGCUAAUAGAUGAGCCUAAGUCGGAUUAGCUAGUUGGUGGGGUAAAGGCCUACCAAGGCGACGAUCUGUAGCGGGUCUGAGAGGAUGACCCGCCACACUGGGACUGAGACACGGCCCAGACUCCUACGGGAGGCAGCAGUGGGGAAUAUUGGACAAUGGGCGGAAGCCUGAUCCAGCCAUGCCGCGUGUGUGAAGAAGGCCUUUUGGUUGUAAAGCACUUUAAGCGAGGAGGAGGCUACCUGGAUUAAUACUCUAGGAUAGUGGACGUUACUCGCAGAAUAAGCACCGGCUAACUCUGUGCCAGCCGCCGCAGUAAAAC
rnacentral:rRNA from 1 species